rnacentral:rRNA from 1 species
UACGUAGGUGGCUAGCGUUGUCCGGAUUUACUGGGCGUAAAGGGCGCGUAGGCGGCCGAUCAAGUCAGGCGUGAAAUUCCCGGGCUCAACCUGGGGGCUGCGCUUGAUACUGAUUGGCUUGAAUGCGGGAGAGGAUAGUGGAAUUCCCCAGUGUAGAGGUGAAAUUCGUAGAUAUUGGGAAGAACACCGGUGGCGAAGGCGGCUAUCUGGCCC